CUCAACCUGGGAAUGGCAUUCGAUACUGUCCAGCUAGAGUCUGGUAGAGGGGAGUGGAAUUUCCGGUGUAGCGGUGAAAUGCGUAGAUAUCGGAAGGAACACCAGUGGCGAAGGCGACUUCCUGGACCAAGACUGACGCUGAGGUGCGAAAGCGUGGGUAGCAAACAGGAUUAGAUACCCUGGUAGUCCACGCCGUAAACGAUGAGAACUAGCCGUUGGACCCAUUUAAGGGUUUAGUGGCGCAGCUAACGCAAUAAGUUCUCCGCCUGGGGAGUACGGCCGCAAGGCUAAAACUCAAAGGAAUUGACGGGGGCCCGCACAAGCGGUGGAGCAUGUGGUUUAAUUCGAUGCAACGCGAAGAACCUUACCUGCCCUUGACAUCCUCGGAACUUGGUAGAGAUACCUUGGUGCCUUCGGGAGCCG
rnacentral:rRNA from 1 species